CCUAGGGGAGGCAGCAGUAGGGAAUAUUGCUCAAUGGGGGAAACCCUGAAGCAGCACCGCCGCGUGGAGGUUGAAGGUUUUAGGAUUGUAAACUCCUUUUGUUAGAGAAGAUUAUGACUGUCUUUAUCGACUAAGCACCGGCUAACUCCGUGCCAGCAGCCGCGGUAAUACGGAGGGUGCCAGCGUUACUCGGAAUCACUGGGCGUAAAGAGUGCGUAGGCGGGGUAAUAAGUCAGAUGUGAAAUCCUGUAGCUUAACUACAGAACUGCAUUUGAACCUGUUACUCUGGAGUGUGGGAGAGGUAGGUGGAAUUCUUGGUGUAGGGGUAAAAUCCGUAGAGAUCAAGAGGAAUACUCAUGGCGAAGGCGACCAGCUGGAACAUUACUGACGCUGAUGAACGAAAGCGUGGGUAGCAAACAGGAGUAGAUACCCGAGUAGUC
rnacentral:rRNA from 1 species